rnacentral:rRNA from 1 species
GACGAACGCUGGCGGCGUGCUUAACACAUGCAAGUCACGGGGGCUGGAGCAAUCCAGUAACCGGCGAACGGGUGCGUAACACGUGAGCAACCUGCCGUACUCAGGGGGAUAGCCGGCCCAACGGCCGGGUAAUACCGCAUACGUUCUCGCAGGGGAGUCCCUGUGGGAGGAAACCUCCGGGGGAGUACGAGGGGCGUCGCGGCCUAUCAGCUAGUUGGUGCGGUAACGGCGCACCAAGGCGACGACGGGAGCUGGUCUGAGAGGAUGGCCAGCCACAUUGGGACUGAGAGACGGCCCAGACUCCUACGGGAGGCAGCAGUGGGGAAGUCUUGCGCAAUGGCCGAAAGGCUGACGCAGCGACGCCGCGU